CCCCCAAAAACGAAAAGUGUGACGGGGUUACCCAAAGUGUCCAUUAAUGGACUGUGGUAGGUGAGUAAUGUCCCCUAUUAGAAAGGAGAGGGCAAGGCUGGUGCCAGCCGCCGCGGUAAAACCAGCUCUUCAAGUGGUCGGGAUAAUUAUUGGGCUUAAAGUGUCCGUAGCCGGUUUGGUAAGUUCCUGGUAAAAUCGAGUAGCUUAACUAUUUGUAUGCUAGGAAUACUGCUAUACUAGAGGGCGGGAGAGGUCUGAGGUACUACAGGGGUAGGAGUGAAAUCUAUUGAUCCUUGUAGGACCACCAGUGGCGAAGGCGUCAGACUGGAACGUGCCUGACGGUGAGGGACGAAAGCCAGGGGAGCGAACCGGAUUAGAUACCCGGGUAGUCCUGGCCGUAAACGAUGCAUACUAGGUGAUGGCACGGCCAUGAGCCGUGUCAGUGCCGUAGGGAAACCGUUAAGUGUGCCGCCUGGGAAGUACGGUCGCAAGGCUAAAACUUAAAGGAAUUGGCGGGGGA
rnacentral:rRNA from 1 species